rnacentral:lncRNA from 1 species
AGAAAACUAAAUGGAUCAAAGGUCAGAUUGGCCUAAUGGUUUAACUCAAAAAUCCUAGGUUUGCAAGAGUAGAUUAAAUUUAUGAUUUCAAAGCCCGUAUAGAAUCAGUGGGCUAAGUAGAAUUGCUCAAGAGAAAAAUCGGAUUUCUUUUCUUUGAAAACCAGAAAAUGAAAUAACACAAAGAAAUAGAAAAAUUAAAAUGACAUGCAUGAACAAACUCGAUUUUAAAACACGCAAACAUAACUGAUUUAAAACGAAAACAAAAUGGAAAAGACAACGUAAUAGGAGAUGGAGACUAGAACUUAAACGAAACAAAAUAAAGAACAGGGAGAAAAUGAAAGAAAGGAGAAGAACUGAAAAAUACCUAAACCAAGUGGAAAAAUCUUGAAAAUCUUCAAAGGAGACUUUGAUUUUUGAACGAAAUGGGCCUUAAUCGUGUGUUCUCAAACGAAAACACACGAAUAAAGCCAAUUUCGGCCUUGAACCUUCGUUAAACUCACUAAUUUGGGUUUUGGAAUUUUAGGGUUCAUGCCUUUGAUUUAAGAUUCGACAAGAUCUGCGAUGAUUCGAAGGAAAAUGGUGCUGGAUUUGGUAUGAGGAGGCCACGAGGGUUUUGGGGUGUGGAUUUGGGGUGGUUUGGAGGUGGCGCUGUCGGUGGAGGUGGAGGUGGAGCUGUCGGCAGAGGUGGCGCUGCCGGUGGAGGCGGCGCUGUCGGUGGAGGGGGCGCUGUCGGUGGACGGCGUCUCUAGGGCUACUGGGCUAGAGACAAUGAGGAUUGAGAAGGGGGUUCUGAG